rnacentral:rRNA from 1 species
UACAGAGGGUGCAAGCGUUAAUCGGAAUUACUGGGCGUAAAGCGCACGUAGGUGGCUGGGUAAGUUGGAUGUGAAAUCCCCGGGCUUAACUUGGGAAUUGCAUUCAAGACUGCCUUGCUAGAGUGUGGAAGAGGGAAGCGUAAUUCCAGGUGUAGCGGUGAAAUGCGUAGAUAUCUGGAGGAACAUCAGUGGCGAAGGCGGCUUCCUGGUCCAACACUGACACUGAGGUGCGAAAGCGUGGGGAGCAAACAGG